GUAAUCACCGCUUCAGUCCAUCGCUGCUAUUCAAAUUAUCAUCCACCAAUCGCUAUCGACUCAAACCAACAGUCCAUCGCUGCUGCCCAAAAACCAAUCACCCAGGCUCGCGUUGCUGGUGCGCUAUACUCGCAUAUACGCGCUGCCGGCCGAUAGCUGCACGCUUUGCUGGCCGAUCGUCGCCGACGCUGCCGUACGGACACGCCGGCGCUCCUACAUCUCCACGCGAAGGUAAUAAAAAGAAGGUUCAUACUCUCCUGCUCCCAUGGUGCUCCCAUGGUGAUUAUUGCUCCAUACAACACAUAUAUUUUCUAGGUUCAGAUCCCUACAUAAUCCUACCAAGUUCAUAUCUUGUUUGGUCUCAUGAUGAUCUUUGAUCUCAUGUGAUACACUUCAAGAACAGAACCAAAUUCAUAUCUUGUUUGGUCUCAUGAUGAUCUUUGGUCUCAUGUGAUACACUUCAAGAAUAGAACUAAAAUAGAUAUUGAUUGGAUUGCACAUAUUGCUCUAAGUUGCCCAAAUUAAUAUAUCCCUUGUUUUGGUCUCAUGGUGAAAUCCCAUGAAGAUACAAAUCGGCAUAAUCAACCAAAUCCUACAUUGAUCUCAUAGAGAUCACCAGUCCUAUGAUGAUACAAAUUAGGUGCACAUGACAAAAUUAUGCUUGCUUUGGUUAUAAGGUGAUUUUGAUCCGAUGUUGAUACAAAUCAAGAAUAGAAAUAGAAAUAAAACUCAUGUUGUUUUGGUCUCAUAAAGUUCUAUAUGCUGGUAAAAAUUAAGACAUAUUUGCUAAUCCCCUAAAUGGAUGAAUUAUUGUAGCAUUAUGGAUUAGCCGUGUAGACAUACAAAGGAGAUCAAAUAAAAUAUUGUUGCGUGCCAUCUGCCUAGCUAGACAUCAACAUGUGGUCUAAGCUAGUUGUGUAGUAUUAAAUCUGAGAACCAAACCCAUGCGCAAACCCAAAUAUGUUAAGUAUGCCUUGGCCAUGUAGCAUCAUGAAUGGAUUUUCACUAGGUAGGCUUGGUACUUAAAUUAACUGGCCGUAACACAUCAAACAGUAGGCUUGUUGCAUGCUGUCCUAUUCAUGUUCAACCAGUAGUGUGCACUCCCUCACAUGGAUGCAUGUACCGGUUAAAUUAAAUUGCAAAGAUCAUCUACCUUUGAGAAAAUAUCAGCACACCAUGUUCUUAGUACUGAAAUAAAUAUGACAAUUAAAUCUAUGCAUGACAUUUACUUUAUGUAUAGUUUAGUCGCACAUAGCUUGACUGAAUAAAUAAUUGUCAUCAUGCCCAUGUAAAAUAUAAAUAGAUAAAUAUUCUCUUGUUUGGUUACACUACAAGCGUACAUUCUAUGCUAUGAUAGUGAUAAUACAAUCUAAGGGAAUAACCAUGCUUCACUCGGUUAUGCUACACGUGGGCAUAUUGCCACACGGCGCUAGUAAUAAUGCAAGUGAAGUGAAACUUAGCGAAAUAUGUUCAUAUAGAAACACUAGUCUCUCAUGCAAAGCUAGUGCAUUAACAUAGGUGUUGAAAUCAUAUUGCACCAUCAAGUUGCAUGCAUAUAUUCAGUGAAAAGUCAGCAUGCUCACAAAUCAAUAUAUACUCUUGUUUGGUCACACUACAUGCUGCUAUGGUAGUGAUGAUACAAAUAAGAAAGAAAUAACCAUACUUCUCUCGGUUAUGCUACAUGUGGGCACAUUGCUACAUGGCGCUAGUUAUAACACAAGUGAAGCCAAAGUUAAUCAAAUUCUCAUACGGCAUACGUAUCCAAGAGAUGUAGGGUAAAAAUCACACCUAGCCAAAAUCAACUGGCAUUUACAUUACUCAUCAUGUUAGUAAUAGAAAGCAAGUUGGGCAGAAAUUAAACAUGUCGCAUGUUAGAAAAUACAACAUGCACCAGUUGGUUUAAAUAAAAAACUACUAAAUACUAAAUCAUGGUACAGUUAAAAAUGUACAAGAAAGUAUAGCUAACUGAGUCUCUGGAAUAGAUGAAUCUAGUAUCUUCAUAUGAGUUGUCAUGCUCUAAAAAGGAGUCGGGUCUAAAAAUCCUUACACUUUUGUUGCUAUAGCAUCCCUGAAAAUGUAUUAGCAGCCCCCAUGAUAAUAUCCGCUUGCACAUACCUCAACGUGUAUGCAAGAUCAAAAUUAAACAAAGACAGAUGCAGGUUAGUCCAAGAUAUAAUCGGUUAGCUUGCAUUCCUCAAAUACUCUCAUGUUGAAAGGAAAUGAGAAAUUAAAUUAUGUAUAUCCCUGUAGCGAUGAUUCAGUGCUACACCCAUCAGUACUAACCAGUACUACACCCUUCGUAUUAGAAAAAGAAUAUGCAGAUCUAGAUAUAGAAUAGCCGCCGAUGCAUGCAUGUAGAAAAGCAUUGUGCAUGACCCUGUGCCAAAAUCGCAUGCACCAUUCUGAUGCUCUUAUUAGUUGGCUAAUAAAACAACCUCAUGUACAAUUAAAAUCUAAGCCGACUGAAUAUAGUAUAUAUCUGAUGCAUGCGCUUUACUUGUACUUCCCAAACUAGUACAAGUGCCAAAUAUUCUGCUUGUACCUCUUAUACUAGUGCAAGUGAAAAAUGAGACCGAUAUGCUAAAUUUAAAUGAUGGCAAAAAACAUGAUAAAUUAAAGAAGAUGAAGUGUUCCACGAGCAGACGACAACGACGGCGGCGGCGGAAGCGAGGCGGACUUUAGUUUCUACAAUUUGUAGUACCCAUAUGUUGUAGUGCCAUGUAAUAGCUAUUGUUGGAAUUCUUAAUCAGGGGUUUUCUCUUCGGAGAUGUAAUUAACGGAGUUUAUAUGCAAAUGUAUGAGUUCCGGAAGUAAUGAACCGCAAUCUUUGAUAUUAGUCAUUUA